GCACUGCCCAGAUCCCAAGAACUCACUAAUGGCUAACACAAUACACCCAAUAUCUACUCGCCCUCCCAGUGAUUUCUACUCGUAGAACAGCAGUUUUCAAACUGUGACCCUUUGACUAGCAGCAUUCACAGCAUCUAGGAACUGGUCAGAAAUGCAACCCUCAAGUCCAGGUGUGAUGGCUCACACUUGUAAUCCCAGCACUUUGGGCGGCUGAUAUGGGAAGAUUUCUUGAACCCAAAAGUUCAGGACCAGCCUGGGCAACAUAGUGAGACCUUGUCUCUACAAAAAGAAUCAAAAAAUUAGCUGGGCAUGGUGGCUUCCACCUGUGGUCCCAACUACUCAGGAGGCUGAGGUAGGAGGAUUGCUUAAGCACAGGAGGUUGAGGCUGCAGUAAGCUGUGACUGCAUCACUGCACUCCAACCUGGACAAGACAGUGAGACCCUGUAUCAAAAAACAAAUAAAAAAUAAAAAAGAAGAAAUGCAACUCUCAGGUUGCUUGUCAGACUUACCAGAAAGUCGAGAGGAAGGACCCAAGAUUGUGUGUUUCAGCAAGCUCCUGGGUGACUGUGAUACACACUUUGCUGGUAAUAGAAUCACCUGGGAAAUUUGGUUAAAAUGCUAAGACUCUGGUCCUAUCCCAUGGCAACAAGCCUGAGCGUCUGUAAUUAUCUCUCCAAGUGAUUUUGAUAAACACCAAUGUUUGAAAUCUACUGAUCCUAGUAUCUGAGAGGACCCAGCUAGAGACAAAUAGUGGUAACUUCACCAAGACUCACAGAAGACGUAGAUGGAAACCAAGAAGCAAUGAGUCAGCAAGACAAUGCUCUAACACUGCUAUUUGAUGAAUGUUGGCUACACUUUGAAAUCAGCACUUGACACAUCUUUUCAAAAUAUUAAAACAGCAAGACAAGAAAAGAUAGUAACUGAAAAGGAAAAGAGCUUCAAUAAUUUUAAUACACAGAUCAUUAACCAAAAAAAACACUUUAAUCAAUAAUGUCAGGAUCUCUCUGCAACCAGAGGAAUUUCUAACAAAUGCUAGGAGCCUCUCAUAAUCAACUUCAGAUUAUUAAGCAAUAAAGAAUAGCUGUGAACUGUUGUUUGUAAUGUGUUUUAUUUAAUUACUUGUUUGUUCUGAGGUAACUUCUCAUUGAAAAUGUGGUAAGGUGCUCCCUCUUUUCCACUAGUGAGAUCUGAAAGCAAAGCUUUGAAAACAGACAAACCUAGAAAACAUCUGCACCUGACAUAUGCCAGGUCCCCACACGGGCUUUGGUACAUUAUCUCAUUUAAUCUUCACAACAUGAUGACAGAGAAAUAGUGGAACAUCCUUAACACAACAAAUCCCAUAGGCUCAAAGCAGUUAAAUUUCCAUGAGAGACAGCUGACUUAAUACCCUGAGCUGUACUUUCCCAUUCAAGUUCCCUGGCUUUAAUUACCAUCCCAGUAAUACCCAAGGUGACAGUUUCUCUCUUAAUACUCUGACACCUCCCUUCCAGGACCAAUGUACUUUCCCUUGGUUCCUCUGACCAUAGCUGGAACAAGAUAAAACUUUCAAAAGACAUUACUAAUAAUAAACUAAGUCGGGUGCAGUGGCUCAUGCCUAUAAUCCCAGUACUUUGGGAGGCUGAGG
rnacentral:lncRNA from 10 species